AGAUUGAACGCUGGCGGCAUGCCUAACACAUGCAAGUCGAACGGGAGUAGCAAUACUCUAGUGGCGGACGGGUGAGGAAUACGUAGGAAUUUGCCCUUAAGUGGGGGAUAACCCGGGGAAACCCGGAUUAAUACCGCAUGACCUCGAAAGAGCAAAGUGGGGGAUCGCAAGACCUCACGCUUUUGGAGAAGCCUACGUCGGAUUAGCUAGUUGGUGAGGUAAUGGCUCACCAAGGCGACGAUCCGUAACUGGUCUGAGAGGAUGAUCAGUCACACCGGAACUGAGACACGGUCCGGACUCCGUACGGGAGCAG
rnacentral:rRNA from 1 species